rnacentral:rRNA from 1 species
GACGAACCGUGCGAACGUUGUUCGGAAUCACUGGGCUUAAAGGGCGCGUAGGCGGGCGAUCAAGUCAGAGGUGAAAUCCUGCGGCUCAACCGUAGAAGAGCCCCUGAUACUGAUUGCCUCGAGGGAGAUAGGGGCAUGUGGAACUUCCGGUGGAGCGGUGAAAUGCGUAGAUAUCGGAAGGAACGCCGGUGGCGAAAGCGACGUGCUGGAUCUCUUCUGACGCUGAGGCGCGAAAGCUAGGGGAGCAAACGGG